GUCCACGCUGUAAACGAUGGGUGCUAGCUGUGGUGGGUAUUGACCCCUGCCGUGGCGACGCUAACGCAAUAAGCACCCCGCCUGGGGAGUACGGUCGCAAGAUUAAAACUCAAAGGAAUUGACGGGGGCCCGCACAAGCGGUGGAGCAUGUGGUUUAAUUCGACGCAACGCGCAGAACCUUACCCAGACUUGACAUCCAUGGAAUCCUGCAGAAAUGUGGGAGUGCCCGCAAGGGAACCAUGAGACAGGUGCUGCAUGGCUGUCGU
rnacentral:rRNA from 1 species